UGAACGCUGGCGGCGUGCCUAAUACAUGCAAGUCGAGCGAACAGAUAAGGAGCUUGCUCCUUUGACGUUAGCGGCGGACGGGUGAGUAACACGUGGAUAACCUACCUAUAAGACUGGGAUAACUUCGGGAAACCGGAGCUAAUACCGGAUAAGAUUUUGAACCGCAUGGUUCAAUAGUGAAAGACGGCCUUGCUGUCACUUAUAGAUGGAUCCGCGCCGUAUUAGCUAGUUGGUAAGGUAACGGCUUACCAAGGCAACGAUACGUAGCCGACCUGAGAGGGUGAUCGGCCACACUGGAACUGAGACACGGUCCAGACUCCUACGGGAGGCAGCAGUAGGGAAUCUUCCGCAAUGGGCGAAAGCCUGACGGAGCAACGCCGCGUGAGUGAUGAA
rnacentral:rRNA from 1 species